ACUCCUACGGGAGGCAGCAGUGGGGAAUAUUGCACAAUGGGCGCAAGCCUGAUGCAGCAACGCCGUGUGAGUGAAGAAGGUUUUCGGAUCGUAAAACUCUGUCCUAAGGGAAAGAAAAAUAGACGGUACCUUAGGAGGAAGCCCGGCUAACUACGUGCCAGCAGCCGCGGUAAUACGGUAGGGGGCAAGCGUUAUCCGGAAUCACUGGGCGUAAAGGGUGCGUAGGCGGCUUAGCAAGCCAGGGGUGAAAGGCAUUGGCUCAACCAAUGUAAGCCUUUGGAACUGUUAAGCUUGAGUGCAGGAGAGGUAAGUGGAAUUCCUAGUGUAGAGGUGAAAUUCGUAGAUAUUAGGAGGAACACCAGUGGCGAAGGCGACUUACUGGACUGUAACUGACGCUGAUGCACGAAAGCGUGGUAGCGAACAGGAUUAGAUACCCUGGUAGGUCAGUC
rnacentral:rRNA from 1 species